GACGAACCGUGCGAACGUUGUUCGGAUUCACUGGGCUUAAAGGGCGCGUAGGCGGGUCGCUAAGUCCGGGGUGAAAGCCCCCAGCUUAACUGGGGAAGUGCCUCGGAUACUGGCGGCCUCGAGGGGGAUAGGGGCCCGCGGAACUUCGGGUGGAGCGGUGAAAUGCGUUGAUAUCCUAAGGAACGCCGGUGGCGAAAGCGGCGGGCUGGAUCCCUUCUGACGCUGAGGCGCGAAAGCGUGGGGAGCGAACAGG
rnacentral:rRNA from 1 species